UACCCGCAGCACAAGUGGUGGUCAUUAUUAUUGGGCCUAAAGCGUCCGUAGCUGGCCUGUUAGAUGCCUGGGUAAAUCGAUGCGCUCAACGUAUCGAACUCCGGGUAGACCGGCAGGCUCGAGACCGGGAGAGGUGUAGGCUACUCGCGGGGUAGGGGUAAAAUCCUGUAAUCCUGCGGGGAGGACCAGUGGCGAAGGCGCUACACUAGAACGGCUCUGACAGUGAGGGACGAAGCCCUGGGGCGCAAACCGG
rnacentral:rRNA from 1 species